rnacentral:rRNA from 1 species
GACGAACGCUGGCGGCGGGCUUAACACAUGCAAGUCGAACGAAGUGACGAACGGGUGAGUAACGCGUAAUCCACCUGCCCUUCAGAGGGGGACAACAGUUGGAAACGACUGCUAAUACCGCAUACUGAAGGAGGGGAUUGCGUCUGAUUAGCUAGUUGGAGGGGUAACGGCCCACCAAGGCGAUGAUCAGUAGCCGGUCUGAGAGGAGGAACGGCCACAUUGGGACGGAGACACGGCCCAGACUCCUACGGGAGGCAGCAGUGGGGAAUAUUGGACAAUGGGCGAAAGCCUGAUCCAGCCAUGCCGCGUGUGUGAAGAAGGUCUUCGGAUUGUAAAGCACUUUAAGUUGGGAGGCGUUACCAACAGAAUAAGCACCGGCUAACUUCGUGCCAGCAGCCGCGGUAAUUC